UGGGGAAUCUUGGACAAUGGGCGCAAGCCUGAUCCAGCCAUGCCGCGUGAGUGAUGAAGGCCCUAGGGUCGUAAAGCUCUUUCGCCAGGGAUGAUAAUGACAGUACCUGGUAAAGAAACCCCGGCUAACUCCGUGCCAGCAGCCGCGGUAAUACGGAGGGGGUUAGCGUUGUUCGGAAUUACUGGGCGUAAAGCGCGCGUAGGCGGAUUGGAAAGUUGGGGGUGAAAUCCCGGGGCUCAACCCCGGAACUGCCUCCAAAACUCCCAGUCUUGAGUUCGAGAGAGGUGAGUGGAAUUCCGAGUGUAGAGGUGAAAUUCGUAGAUAUUCGGAGGAACACCAGUGGCGAAGGCGGCUCACUGGCUCGAUACUGACGCUGAGGUGCGAAAGUGUGGGGAGCAAACAGGAUUAGAUACCCCCGUAGUCC
rnacentral:rRNA from 1 species